UUUAAUGUGUUGUAAGUAGCAUCCUACAUUUUGGUUGUAGUAGUGACUAGUUGUCCGUUAUUU
rnacentral:tRNA from 1 species